GUGGGGAAUCUUGCGCAAUGGGCGAAAGCCUGACGCAGCCAUGCCGCGUGAAUGAUGAAGGUCUUAGGAUUGUAAAAUUCUUUCACCGGGGAAGAUAAUGACGGUACCCCCAGAAGAAGCCCCGGCUAACUUCGUGCCAGCAGCCGCGGUAAUACGAGGGGAGCUAGCGUUGUUCGGAAUUACUGGGCGUAAAGGGCGCGUAGGCGGACAGCUUAGUCAGAGGUGAAAGCCCAGGGCUCAACCUUGGAAUUGCCUUUGAUACUGGCUGUCUUGAGUUUGGGAGAGGUGAGUGGAACUCCGAGUGUAGAGGUGAAAUUCGUAGAUAUUCGGAAGAACACCAGUGGCGAAGGCGACUCACUGGCCCAAUACUGACGCUGAGGCGCGAAAGCGUGGGGAGCAAACAGGAUUAGAAACCCGAGUAGUCC
rnacentral:rRNA from 1 species